UACGAAGGGGACUAGCGUUGUUCGGAAUCACUGGGCGUAAAGCGCACGUAGGCGGAUAUGUCAGUCAGGGGUGAAAUCCCGGGGCUCAACCUCGGAACUGCCCUUGAUACAGCAUAUCUUGAGUCCGAUAGAGGUGGGUGGAAUUCCUAGUGUAGAGGUGAAAUUCGUAGAUAUUAGGAAGAACACCAGUGGCGAAGGCGACUUACUGGACACAUAUUGACGCUGAGGUGCGAAAGCGUGGGGAGCAGACAGG
rnacentral:rRNA from 1 species